GCCCACCACUCGAUGGAGCGUCUCCAAUCCGACCCCCGGGGGACGUGCUUUGGCCCAUGAAGAGGGAGCCGGACAGGAAAGUUCCAGUGGUGGAGCUCACUGCAUCUUCCCCAUUUACCAGAUGUGCUCUCUGCAAGCCUUCCCUUGCAAAUAAAAGAUAGAGAAGUGGAUCCCAGCCCAGUCUCCUGCUCGACCACACAGCCCAUCCAGAGCAUCUACCUCCUUCACCAGCUGGCCCUUACCUACUCCUCCCAGAGACGGGUUACAGGACAGGGCACCUGGAGGAUGUCAUUAAUAAAAGGAGAGAGCUCUGUUUGGAUCACGUACAGAAGUGUCUCAGCUCCAACUCUGGCUGCUGCCGCCGCCGCCUCGGUCCCUGCGUGACCCCCACCCACAACAAUGACGUCAUACU